rnacentral:rRNA from 1 species
GACGAACGCUGGCGGCGUGCUUAACACAUGCAAGUCGAACGAUGAAGCGGUGCUUGCACCGUGGAUUAGUGGCGAACGGGUGAGUAAUACGUGAGUGACCUACCUUUGACUCUGGGAUAAGCCUGGGAAACUGGGUCUAAUACCGGAUACGACCAAUCUCUGCAUGGGGUGUUGGUGGAAAGCGUUAUGGAGUGGUUUUAGAUGGGCUCACGGCCUAUCAGCUUGUUGGUGAGGUAAUGGCUUACCAAGGCGACGACGGGUAGCCGGCCUGAGAGGGUGACCGGCCACACUGGGACUGAGACACGGCCCAGACUCCUACGGGAGGCAGCAGUGGGGAAUAUUGCACAAUGGGCGCAAGCCUGAUGCAGCGACGCCGCGUGAGGGAUGACGGCCUUCGGGUUGUAAACCUCUGUUAGCAUCGAAGAAGCGAAAGUGACGGUAGGUGCAGAGAAAGCGCCGGCUAACUACGUU